rnacentral:rRNA from 1 species
AGAGUUUGAUCAUGGCUCAGAACGUACGCUGGCGGCACGCCUAACACAUGCAAGUCGAACGAAGUAGCAAUACUUAGUGGCAGACGGGUGAGUAACAUGUGGGUAUCUACCCUUUGGCCUGGAAUAACACGAGGAAACUUGUGCUAAUACUGGAUAAGUCUUUACGGAGAAAGCUUUAUGCACCAUUGGAUGAGCCUGCACUUGAUUAGUUUGUUGGUAGGGUAAUGGCCUACCAAGACUGUGAUCAAUAGCUGAUUUGAGAGGAUGAUCAGCCACAUUGGGACUGAGACACGGCCCAAACUCCUACGGGAGGCAGCAGGUGGGGAAUCUUGCACAAUGGAGGAAACUCUGAUGCAGCG